GUGUCCAUCUUAUUAUUACAUUGUCAUACAUUUUAUCUCCAGCCUGUAGGCUACAGAAAAGGCAACAUUCUCUUUCUACCAUAGGCUAUAUCUGCUACAUGAUUUAUGAUAUAUUUUUUUGGGACGGAACGUUGGUGGAGCGCGGCAGCGAUGCGUCUCUCCAACAGCAGCCUGGAGAGGCGUGCUCGGAAUUGACAAGCGAAAUAUGUUGCGCAAUUGAUCAAGUGGACACUGCUUAUCACAGGGCGGCAUCAGCGCUCAACUAAAAAGCUCAUAUGCCACUGGUUGAGAGAAAUCGUCAUUGUUUUUUGGCAGAAUAAUGUGAGGUUUUAUGUGUUGUUGGAGGCUAUGUUUCGACCAGAAUCGAUGCCUCUGUUUGACAACUCUUCGCUCCAAAAGAUUGGCCGCUUCGUGGGCAUAUGCAUGAACCUAUUCAAUAUAGAUAACAGCAAUGGAAGAGGGUGAAAGGAUUUUCUGCUCCAGCUGUCAGAAAAGGGAGUAGGUGGACUACAUUACAUUACAUUUACAUUAGUUAAUAUAGUGGAGGUUGUGGGAUGACAUUAAGAAAAUAUUCUCCUGUUUUAGUCCCUAGAGAGGAAAACUAUGAAGACAGACAGAUAAAUGAUAGUCAGGGCUGUCUAAUUGUAAUAAAGUGAAGCCUGUUUCUUUGUGAUGUCUGUCCUCAGAUAUGGAGAGCUGCGAAAGCAUGUCUGCAGAUGAAGAGGUCCCAGUGAAUGUCCCAAGAGACUGCUGGCACAUCCUUGUAUGCCAUGGGGUUGUAUGUGCACUUAUGGUAGCACAUGUUGUAUUUAACAAUACAGUUAAAAGUCACACACAAUGUAGGCUACAAACUUAUUACAACUGUAGCAGGCCAAUCCUUCUGGAGGUAUGCUGGGUGUGCAGGUUUCUGUUCCAGCCAAGCACUAACACACCUGAUUCAACUUAUCAAACCUAAUGAGUUGAUAAUAAUGUGUAUUAUUGCUGGGCUAGAAGUCUGCUCACCCAGUAGAUCAGGGAGUGGAGCAAGGUUGGCCACCUCUGGUAUGGACUUUUUUGUUCACCUGAAAUAAUGCUCAGUAAGAUGUCUAACAUUUACAAACAAGUUAGAUUAUUUGUACAUUUUGAAAUUAUAUUUUGAUUAAUUCAAUGUUGAUUCAUUGAAGUGUUUAAACUUGUUUUAAUUGUUAAUUAAAAAGCAUUAUUCAAGAUGAACUAGUGUCAAUGUUCAUUCAUCACAGAUCACAAUUCUGCAAUAAAAAGGUAUGAAUGGGAUCAGUC